GAUGAACGCUGGCGGCGUGCUUAACACAUGCAAGUCGAACGAUGAAGCCCUGCUUGCUGGGUGGAUUAGUGGCGAACGGGUGAGUAACACGUGAGUAACCCGCCCUUAACUCUGGGAUAAGCCUGGGAAACUGGGCAUAAUACCGGAUAGGAGCGUCCACCGCAUGGUGGGUGUUGGAAAGCUUUAUCGGUUUUGGAUGGACUCGCGGCCUAUUAGCUUGUUGGUGCGGUAAUGGCUCACCAGGGCGACGACGGGUAGCCGGCCUGAGAGGGUGACCGGCCACGCUGGGACUGAGACGCGGCCCAGACUCCUACGGGAGGCAGCAGUGGGGAAGAUUGCACAAUGAGCCCAAGCCUGAUGGAUCGACGCCGCGUGGGGGAUGACGGCCUUCUGGUUGUAAACCUCUUUCAGUAGGGAAGAAGCGGAAGUGACGGUACCUGCAGAAUAAGCACCGGCUAGCUACGUG
rnacentral:rRNA from 1 species